AUUGAACGCUGGCGGCAGGCUUAACACAUGCAAGUCGAGCGAGCGGCGGACGGGUGAGUAAUGUCUGGGAAACUGCCUGAUGGAGGGGGAUAACUACUGGAAACGGUAGCUAAUACCGCCUACCCUCAGCUGUUCCCAGAUGGGAUUAGCUAGUAGGUGGGGUAAUGGCUCACCUAGGCGACGAUCCCUAGCUGGUCUGAGAGGAUGACCGCCCAAUGGGGAACUGAGAAAGGGUCCAGACUCAUACGGGGGGCAGCAGGGGGGAAUAUGGCACAGUGGGCGCAAGCCUGAGGCAGCCGUGCCGCGUGUGUGAAGAAGGCCUGGGGGUUGUAAAGCACUUUCAGCGGGGAGGCGUUACGCGCAGAAGAAGCACCGGCUAACUCCGUGCCAGCGCCGCGGUAAUAC
rnacentral:rRNA from 1 species